rnacentral:misc_RNA from 1 species
CAAUAUUAACCCGCGGCAGAUUGCUCUUAAGUGAUCAAAAAGGCACGCUCCCGCCGCCCCGGCCGGCCGGAACCACCGCAAACGCUACGUCCCGCAAUUUUUAAAUCUGCAAUAUCUUCGAAAAUAUUCAUUUAAAUCAUAUGCUGCAAAGGGCCAUAUAGAUUUAUAUUAAAUGAACAAUAUAUUUAAGGUAUUUAAUUAG